rnacentral:misc_RNA from 1 species
AGGAUUUUAAGGUCGAGGAAAAUAAUGAGGGAGGAGAUAAAGGACAACAUGAAGACCCGGAUGAGGUGUUUGAUGGCCUGGUGGACAAACAGCCGAUGCCCGGGUCUGUUUUGAAGGAUACUGUAAUGGAGGAUUCUUCAUCUAAUGGUAGUGGGAAUCAGCAAAGUGAUCAAAAGAUCGCAGAGUCUGAUCAAUUUGUUGUGGAGGACGCUCUGAAUUCAACAGUCUCGGUUGGGCCUGUGGAUGGAAAUGCAGAAAAGAUUGGGCUUAUCUUUGAUUGUCCUUUUUCCCAGCCUGAGGGCGUCAUGGCUGUCAAUGAUAGCCUGUCGGAGGACUAUGGCGCUGGCAUUUUUUCUCCGGGCGCUUUGACUGAGAAAGCUAGCGUGCAGGAGACAAGAGGGACAGGGCGUUUGACAAAUGCACAUCUGUGCUGCGGCAUGGU